rnacentral:rRNA from 1 species
UACAGAGGGUGUGAGCGUUAAUCGGAAUUACUGGGCGUAAAGCGCACGUAGGCGGCUUGGCAUGUCGGGUGUGAAAUCCCCGGGCUCAACCUGGGAACUGCAUCCGAAACUGCCUUGCUAGAGUAUGGGAGAGGGAAGUGGAAUUUCCGGUGUAGCGGUGAAAUGCGUAGAGAUCGGAAGGAACAUCAGUGGCGAAGGCGACUUCCUGGACCAAUACUGACGCUCAGGUGCGAAAGAGUGGGGAGCAAACAGG